CUGACUGGCUAGUAGUCCUUACCUAGGUACUGUCAGGGCACGCCCUAUUACUCUGCUUCUGACUGGCUAGUAGUCCUUACCUAGGUACUGUCAGGGCCUCAUACUCUGCUUCUGACUGGCUAGUAGUCCUUACCUAGGUACUGCGCAUGUUCAACCCCCAACAAAGACGGAACACAAGCGCGAUGCCUCACAAAACAGAGAGCUCAACACACAGGGUGAAAAGAGGAGCUGCAGCAAUGUGCAGUACGACAAACAUAUGGAUAUUUUUUGAAGAUUAAACCAUGUA